rnacentral:rRNA from 1 species
UACGGAGGGUGCAAGCGUUAUCCGGAUUCACUGGGUUUAAAGGGUGCGUAGGCGGGCAGGUAAGUCCGUGGUGAAAUCUCUGAGCUUAACUCAGAAACUGCCAUGGAUACUAUUUGUCUUGAAUAUUGUGGAGGUAAGCGGAAUAUGUCAUGUAGCGGUGAAAUGCUUAGAGAUGACAUAGAACACCUAUUGCGAAGGCAGCUUACUACGCAGAUAUUGACGCUCAUGCACGAAAGCGUGGGGAUCAAACAGG